rnacentral:rRNA from 1 species
GCACAAGCGGUGGAGCAUGUGGUUUAAUUCGACGCAACGCGAAGAACCUUACCUGGGCUAGACAACGGUGGACAUCCCCAGAGAUGGGGCUUUCCCUUCGGGGACUGCCGGUUCAGGUGCUGCAUGGCUGUCGUCAGCUCGUGUCGUGAGAUGUUGGGUUAAGUCCCGCAACGAGCGCAACCCUCGCCAUUAGUUGCCAUCAUUAAGUUGGGCACUCUAGUGGGACUGCCGGUGAUAAGCCGGAGGAAGGUGGGGAUGACGUCAAGUCCGCAUGGCCUUUAUGUCCGGGGCUACACACACGCUACAAUGGUCGGUACAAUGGGUUGCUAAGCCGCGAGGUGGAGCCAAUCCCCCAAAGCCGGCCUCAGUUCAGAUUGCAGGCUGCAACUCGCCUGCAUGAAGCUGGAGUUGCUAGUAAACGCGCGUCAGCUAUAGUGCGUUGAAUACGUUCUCGGGCCUU